CUCCGUGUCUGCUGUGGCAGCCUCACUUCCUGGCCAUGGAAGAGUAUAUUCCUGUUAACUGGCAAAGCAGCCAUCACUUAGCUGGUAUUGGAGUCUGAUGCGCACGAGUAACCUUC